AGUAACGCGUGAGAACCUACCUUCAGAAUGGGGACAACAGUUGGAAACGACUGCUAAUACCCAAUGUGCCGAAAGGUGAAAGAUUUAUCGUCUGAAGAUGGGCUCGCGUCUGAUUAGCUAGAUGGUGGGGUAAGAGCCUACCAUGGCAACGAUCAGUAGCUGGUCUGAGAGGAUGAGCAGCCACACUGGGACUGAGACACGGCCCAGACUCCUACGGGAGGCAGCAGUGGGGAAUUUUCCGCAAUGGGCGAAAGCCUGACGGAGCAAUACCGCGUGAGGGAGGAAGGUCCUUGGAUUGUAAACCUCUUUUAUCAGGGAAGAAGUUCUGACGGUACCUGAUGAAUAAGCAUCGGCUAACUCCGUGCCAGCAGCCGCGGUAAUACGGAGGAUGCAAGCGUUAUCCGGAAUUAUUGGGCGUAAAGCGUCCGUAGGUGGUUAUGCAAGUCUGCCGUUAAAGAAUGGAGCUUAACUCCAUAGGAGCGGUGGAAACUGCAAGACUAGAGUACAGUAGGGGUAGCAGGAAUUCCCAGUGUAGCGGUGAAAUGCGUAGAUAUUGGGAAGAACAUCGGUGGCGAAAGCGUGCUACUGGGCUGAAACUGACACUGAGGGA
rnacentral:rRNA from 1 species